AGGGGUGACUAGUGACAGAGUGAGGAAGGGGGUGACUAGUGACAGAGAGAGGAGUGACUAGGGACAGAGUGAGGGAGGUGGUGACUAGUGACUAGUGACAGUCACCACCUCCCUCACUCUGUCACUAGUCACCACCUCCCUCACUCUGUCACCAGUCAUCCCCUCACUCUGUCACUAGUCACCCCUUCCUUCCCUCACUUUGUCACCUGUCACCCCUUCACUCUGUCACUAGUCACCCCCU